UGCAGGUGUUGGGCUUGGAUAUCACAGAGCCCAGAACCCUAGCAUGAUCUUAAAGUUAUAGUUAAUGAAGAUAUGCAAGGUUGUACUGUAUCCAAGUGUGUUGACAAAACCGACUGGGAAAGUGAGCAGUGGAGAGGCCACAUAAAUGUUGCAAAGGGAUAUGAAUACAGAAUGGCCAAAGUGGUGGCAGGUGCAAUACAAUAUAGAACAUUAUUGGAAAGAAUAGAAGGACAGAAUUCUUUUUAAAGAUUUCCAGCGUCUGCAGUUUUUUUUGAUUUUCAUCCAUCCUGGGAUAUCCUGGUUUGCAUGGUUUAGCAGGCAGUUCUUUUACUCUCCAGGCCAUUGGCAGAGCUCCCCAAAGUAACUGUUCCUAUGUCAACUUGGGUAUUUUCAUGGACACAGGAGACUGCAGAUGCUGGAAUCUGGAGCAACACACAAAGCACUGGAGAAACUCAGCAGGUCGGGCAGCAUCUACGGAGGGAAGUGGACUGUUGACGUUUCGGGUCAAGACACUUCAUCUUCACCUUGGAAGGAUCAAGUUGAACCUUAUUGCGAAAGAUGACAUUGAGAUGAACACGUGCUAUGAGUUGAAAUGCUGAGCAAA